AUUGAACGCUGGCGGCAUGCCUUACACAUGCAAGUCGAACGGCAGCACGGACUUCGGUCUGGUGGCGAGUGGCGAACGGGUGAGUAAUAUAUCGGAACAUACCUUGUAGUGGGGGAUAACUAUCCGAAAGGAUAGCUAAUACCGCACACGAUCUAAGGAUGAAAGCGGGGGAUCUUCGGACCUCGUGCUAUAAGAGUGGCCGAUAUCUGAUUAGCUAGUUGGUGAGGGAAAGGCUCACCAAGGCGACGAUCAGUAGCUGGUCUGAGAGGACGACCAGCCACACUGUAACUGAGACACGGGCCAGAGUCCAGAGGGAGGCAGCAGUGGGGAAUUUUGGACAAUGGGGGCAACCCUGAUCCAGCAAUGCCGCGUGAGUGAAGAAGGCCUUCGGGUUGUAAAGCUCUUUUGUCAGGGAAGAAACGGUUGUGGCUAAUAUCCAUGGCUAAUGACGGUACCUGAAGAAUAAGCACCGGCUAACUACGUGCCAGCAGCCGCCGUAA
rnacentral:rRNA from 1 species